CGACCGGCGCACGGGUGAGUAACACGUAUGCAACCUGGCCGUGACAGAUGGAUAACCGGGAGAAAUUCCGACUAAUACAGCAUAACACUCCUGAGGGACAUCCUUCGGGAGUCAAAGGAGGCAACUCCGGUGACGGAUGGGCAUGCGGCGCAUUAGGUAGUUGGUAGGGUAACGGCCUACCAAGCCGACGAUGCGUAGGGGUUCUGAGAGGAAGGUCCCCCACAUUGGAACUGAGACACGGUCCAAACUCCUACGGGAGGCAGCAG
rnacentral:rRNA from 1 species